GCACGUUGCGGACGUAGGCACGCCGGCGUGUACGUCUGUCUCCAUCUUUGGACGUGAGCUGUCCCGGCAAGGCGGAAAUGGUGCCGUGAUGGGUUUUGUCUUAACUCCCGCCCACAGGGUUUGGGUUUCUGGCUGUGCGUCAGUUUCUUGGAAAUCUUUGUGGAAAGUUAAUGGUAUAUGAGAGCUCUUUGCAGUCUGUGGCUUAUAUAAAAACAGUACUUGUGAAAGCCAAAGGGAAAGGAAUAGAGACUUUUAAGCAGAUAUUCUGAGAGAAACAGCAGUGGACCGGGGAAUACAAGAAAGAUUGUCAGGAGUAGCCAAGAUUCUAUGAACCUGCAGAACAAUCUUUAAAAAAAAUCAUCAGAAGAAAGGAAUUUGUAGAAAUAAAACCGGAAACCACCAGAAUCUUGAUGGUGUGCUAAACCAAAUGUCAACUGGAGCUCCACCAAAAUCUAAAGUAAGUAGCUUUAUUACGGACUACCAUGGUGUGAGCAUC